rnacentral:rRNA from 1 species
GACGAACGCUGGCGGCGCGCCUAACACAUGCAAGUCGAACGGAGCGCACGAGAAGAUCCUUUCGGGGUGAUUUUUGUGUUUGCUUAGUGGCGAACGGGUGAGUAACACGUGAGCAACCUACCUUCCAGUGGGGGACAACAUUUGGAAACAGAUGCUAAUACCGCAUAAGACCACGGUACCGCAUGGUACAGCGGCCAAAGGAGCAAUUCGCUGGAAGAUGGGCUCGCGCCUGAUUAGAUAGUUGGUGGGGUAACGGCCCACCAAGUCUGCGAUCAGUAGCCGGACUGAGAGGUCGAUCGGCCACAUUGGGACUGAGACACGGCCCAGACUCCUACGGGAGGCAGCAGUGGGGAAUAUUGCACAAUGGGCGAAAGCCUGAUGCAGCGACGCCGCGUGAGGGAAGAAGGUUUUCGGAUUGUAAACCUCUGUCUUUGGGGACGAAGAAGUGACGGUACCCAAGGAGGAAGCCACGGCUAACUACGUGCCAGCAGCCGCCGUAACAC